UACGGAGGGGGCUAGCGUUGUUCGGAAUUACUGGGCGUAAAGCGCACGUAGGCGGAUCAGUCAGUUAGGGGUGAAAUCCCAGGGCUCAACCCUGGAACUGCCUUUAAUACUGCUGGCCUGGAGUCCGAGAGAGGGUAGUGGAAUUCCCGGUGUAGUGGUGAAAUGCGUAGAUAUCGGGAGGAACACCAGUGGCGAAGGCGACUACCUGGCCUGUUCUUGACGCUGAGGCGCGAAAGCUAGGGGAGCAAACGGG
rnacentral:rRNA from 1 species